AGAAGCUCUCUCCCUCUCUAUUCCCACGGGUCCACAUGAAUCUGAAUUCUCACCUCACUUUGCUCUCUUUUUCUCUUAAGGAAAGAGCUAGAAGCUCUCUUGAGUCUUCUCUCAAACCCACGGGUCAACACCUCAAAAGGAAAAUAAAACUCCAUCUCAUUUCUUCUUCAUACUUUCUCAAAGAAACUAGAAAACUCAAAUACUCUCUCAAGCUCUCUACCUUUCAUACUUUCGGGUCUAGCCACUAGGAAAGGGAAAUCCUUUCAUGCCAGAGUGAUUCUAUGUCUAUUUCCCCUCAAGAACCAUAAACUUGGGGCCUUUUUUUUACUUGGGGCCUUAGGCGGUUGCAUUUUUUGCUCCACCAUAGAGCCGGCCCUGCUCGGUUCCUCUGCUUUCAGGUAAGGGAUAAGUUAUAUAAGCAUUUCGUAAGUUAUGAGGUUAUUUUAAAGUAUAUUAUGCAUUUAAAGGUUUUUUUUAUUAUUAGAGAUAUGGCAUAUAAUCAUGUUUCAGACAAAGGUAUGUUCGAGAGUUCUCAAAACCUUAUGUAUAUGAUUUAAUCAUAUUGAUGCUAUUACUAAUUCCACAAACAUGAUGUUUAAAGAAAACAAUGGAAAUGCCUUUAUUAUGAAAUGUUAUGCAAAUUAUGAAUUUCAGUAUGAUGUAUAAGUAUGAAAUGUUUUCGGGUUAUGUCCUCUGGUAAUCUGAACUCGGCCAGUUAGGGUUAAAUUACUGACUUUCCAUGGAAAAUGUUAUCUGUUUGGCCAUUUAAAGUAGAGGAAACGGGGCUGUCCGUAACUCUAGGCCAUUUAAAGUAGAGGAAAUGAGGCUACUCGUAACUCUAAUUUGAACAAGGCCUUCUCUCCAAUAUGUACGGACAGUGGGGAGGAACAAAAUCUUUAGGGGAUGUGCCAUCAGACCUCCCAAAGAGGACAAUAUCAUGCACACGAGGGCACCCAAAUGUGGUGAGGUCUUCUCUGUAUAAACUUAUCAGAUAUGGACUAACCAAUAUGUUAUGAACAACUAUAUUAUGUUAUUGAUCAUGAGAAAAUGAUUUUAUUUAAAUGCAUUAUGAAAAGUUGAAAGCUCUCAUGAAAAUAAAAAGUUUAUGAUGAAAAGAAAAGCUGUUCUUUAAAGAUAAAGUUUUUGAAAUUUUGUUGUGCUUUAAAGAUAAAACUUCUGAUGAAAGUAUAAGUUUAUGUUAAAAAGUUAUCAAAUAUCUGUUCUUAUGAAAUGCUAAGUUUUAUGACUAUGAAAGUUAUAAUAUUUUACGAGAAGAAGUUUAUGAAGAAAAGUUUUGUUAUUCUUUAAGAUGUUUCUAGUUUAAGACAAAGUUACCAAUUACCUGAUUUACGUUAAAAUGAUUAUUUUGUAAUGAGAAUAUAUAUAUAUAUAUAUGUAUGUAUGUAUGUAUGUAUAUGAUUUUGAAUAAUCAAUAUCAUAUUUAGUGACUUUGUAAGAAAUGAAGAAGUUCAAUCUGAAGGUUUUGAUAAUAUUAUUCUGAUAAGAAAAAGGAGAACAAUUAUUUUCCUAUGAAGAGCGUGUAAGUUAUUAUUAUGAAUAGUAUAAAAUACUAUGCAUGAAAAUAUAUUCUCCUAUCUACACAUUUAUAAAAUAAAAUGGUUUGAUUUACAUGCAUUCUUAUUAAAUUCUCAUGUAUCUUACCUUUACUAAGCUGUGUAGCUCAUCUCUUUCACUUUUUCAGUCAACAGGUUUUAUGUUGGAGUAGAGGGAGCCUUAGUUGAGUUUUGGAAGGAGCUGGUUUUAGUUUUAAAAUUAUAAAUCUCAAAUUAACAAUUUGAUGUUUAGCUUUGUAGUAUUGUGUAUUUUAGGAUCUAAUGAAAGUGGUGUACCUUAAAGUAUUAAAAGAUGUAUUAUGUGAAAUUUAGAAUUUGAGUAACUGGUGGAUUAUAUUAUUCUUUGGGUACAA